rfam:Erinaceus europaeus unplaced genomic scaffold scaffold00270, whole genome shotgun sequence
CUCUAUCUUCUUUGCUAGUGAGGACUGGAAACCUGGUGUGAUCCGAGGGUCUUGAGUGUGUCUGACCCAAGCCAAC